rnacentral:rRNA from 1 species
AGCGAACGCUGGCGGCAGGCCUAACACAUGCAAGUCGAACGGAUCCUUCGGGAUUAGUGGCGGACGGGUGAGUAACACGUGGGAACGUGCCCUUUGGUUCGGAACAACUCAGGGAAACUUGGGCUAAUACCGGAUGUGCUCUUCGGGGGAAAGAUUUAUCGCCAUUGGAGCGGCCCGCGUCUGAUUAGCUAGUUGGUGAGGUAACGGCCCACCAAGGCGUCGAUCGGUAGCUGGUCUGAGAGGAUGAUCAGCCACACUGAGACUGAGGCACGGCGCAGACUCCUACGGGAGGCAGCAGUGGGGGAUCUUGCGCAAUCGGCGAAAGCCUGACGGAGCCCUGCCGCGUGAAUGAUGAAGGUCUUAGGGUAGUAAAAUUCUUUCAGCGGGGACGAUAAUGACGGUACCCGCAGAAGAAGCUCCGGCUAACUUCGUG